GAAUUCCAAAGUCAUCGUGUUAAGCAAAACAAUUUGGACAUUUUUAACUCCUUCAGACUUUAACCCACGACGAACAGAACGUGCAACAUGCAAGGAAGUUAUUAAAAAUGUUUUUAGUUAUUUCCUUCUUGUUUCAAAUUUUCUUGUAUUACAACCUCUAAAACAUCCAGUGUAGUUCAUUUUUUACGUUGUCUUGAACAAUUUUGAGACUAUAUAAGCUACACCCAAACACUGGGUCUUCACUCGACGUUUUAACGCAGAGUCCUUCAAUAGCAAGUAACUGCAGUAUCCGAGAUGGAAUCAGUUCGCCAGUUUCUCUACCAAACUGCAACCUUGGCUAUGGUAGCCAUGUUUCAGAUGGCGCUUGCCCAGUACCAACCCGAACAGAACGGUGAUUUCCUGUACGGCAAUUACAGAUACCUGAACGGAUACCGUUACUAAGGAUCCAACGAUUGUUUUGAGGCCGGCGAUGUAUGGAUACGGCAAUGAAAACUAGUCAACAAAGAAGACAUCUUGUCAACAUGAUAUUUAUAGUAACAAAGUUGGUGGCCAAAACAUUUGUUGUACAUAAAUCAUUCAGAGGUCAAUAAAUAAUCGUUGUUCCUAUUAA